UACGUAGGGUGCGAGCGUUAAUCGGAAUUACUGGGCGUAAAGCGUGCGCAGGCGGUUGGCCGUGUCCGAUGUGAAAGCCCCGGGCUUAACCUGGGAAUGGCAUUGGAAACUGGCUGGCUGGAGUGUGGCAGAGGGGGGUGGAAUUCCACGUGUAGCAGUGAAAUGCGUAGAGAUGUGGAGGAACACCGAUGGCGAAGGCAGCCCCCUGGGCCAACACUGACGCGCAGGCACGAAAGCGUGGGGAGCAAACAGG
rnacentral:rRNA from 1 species